AUACUUAUGUAGCUGGAGAUACCAUGAUCAGUUAUGAAGGUGGUUUUCCCAGGGCAAGUCUGACUUAUUGCACUCUGGGUGUGCUGACCCUUGAAAUUUCCCCAAAUUCAGAAAACUUAACUGCAAACUUAGGGCAGUGUGGGACAGUAUUCAAACUCUCCCUUG